CAUAGGCAGGGACACCUCCCUCUAGACCAGGUUGCUCACAGCCCCAUCCAGCCUGGCCUUGAAUGCUUCCAGGGAGGGAGCAUCCACAACCUCACUGGGCAACCUGUGCCAGUGUCUCACCACUCUUACAGUAAAGAAUUCUUCCAGGUAUCUGGAAAAUCUACCUUCUUCCACUUUAAAGCCAUUCCCCGUCGUCCUGUCUCUACAUGUCAUCCCUUAUAAAAAGUCCUGUGAUUUUGCCCAUGAGAAGAAAAUAUCAGUAUCCUCUUUCCUCCAGGGGAGAUCUCAGAGGGGAAGCAGACGUGCUGUUCCCAAAAAUAUGCUGUUCCUAAAACUAUUGGCUUGAUUCAGACCAAUACAAAAGGAGCUCAACAUCUAUUACAGCACUCAACAAACUAGGAUUUACAGCAGACAGCCUAAAGAGGCUGCCUAGCUGGGCAAGCCCAAGUGACGCAGCUUUACCACACACAGUAGUAGGAGCUGUGAGCAGAGAAGGGAUUCCAUCAGUAAAAUUCCACUAAGGAGGUGCUUAAAGAGAAUUCUGUCAUGUUACCAGUUUGUCAGCACUCCAGGAAGAAAGCACACAGACAGCACAGAGGGAACAGACCAUAACACCCUUCAAACCUCAGAAUUUCUUUCUAGAGGGAAAAAGAUCAUAUUAAAAGACUUCCAUUAUGUGUACCUACAAACUACUCUUUGUCAAAGUGUGAUAUUUGCAUAAUGACAUUCCAUCCCGGCUCUUGGAAUCUUCCAGGUGUGCGAGAAUGCCGUAGAAUUCAAAAUAUUACAUCUCCCUGGCUGGAGAUCUACGUGUUUUAUACAUUGGAACGCUCUCUGAAUUAAAAAGCAAGCUCCAUGUGCCACAUCUAUGCAGCAAAAUCAGUUUCAGAUGUAAGCUUCCAGAAGUUAUAAUACUCAGAAACCAGAAGAGAUAUUCUAUUGUAGAAACAUGCUGAUUACAGGCUGCUUCAACCUGCAGUUGAAGUUGCAUUUUCCACCACAUUCUUUUGAGCUACAAUUACCAAUGGCAAAAGCAAGGUUAUGCAGACAAAAAUACUCGUUGACAGCAUUUUUCCAGACCACUACUAAGAGUGGCUUUUCGGAUUUGCUCUUCCCAGGAGGAUUCCUUUCUCCAGAUGUUUGGUUUUUGUUUACGUUAAAAAAUCCUAGAGGUUCUUUUUCCUGAAUCAAUGAGGAGAAAAUCCAGCCUCAGCACAGAGCUACGAACAUCAGUUUGCAUUCCAGCACUUUCACGUUUCAGCACCUCAGAUUGCUUUUUUUGCUGUUGGGCCCCUUCUCAUUUUGGUUACUGAGUCUGACUGAAAAAAAAAAAAUCCUCACUGUUGAGCAGUUAGCUAUCUGUAUUAGCGAAACCACUACUAAACUGCUGUUUGUGCUGGUGUAGAUGACUUUCUCAAAGUCAUGUAAUCUAGGCAAUGCUGUUUUCAGUACUUACAUCUUUUAUUCAUGGCAAUUACCCUAAUGGGAGCUCUAGGGAAACCUCCCAGCACACAAAACGCUCCACAGUACAACGUUCCAAACAACCCAUUGCUCCAUCUGUGACACCACAAAGAAAACAGGGAGCAAUUUUCUACAUUAGCCGUGGCUUGCAAGGACUUCUUUGGGCAAUGGAGCAUAAUGCUGACACCCCCUGUGGACCAUAGCACCAAUGCUCCAUGUAUUUGAGCUCCAACACAACAGCAUUAGCAGCAAGGAUGAGUUGGAAAUCCAGAUACAAGGCAACGGGAAGCUGGGGAAGACAGAUAAACAGAAUCGUGCAAUGUAACAAUUUGCAUCUGCAGGGAAACUCAUUCUCAGAAGAGAGGUAACAAAGUUUGUCCUCAGCAUUCAUUCUCAGGAAAUCCUUUAUUUCAGAAUGCAAGGAGCAGGGAGAAGUUCACAGGACUGGCUCCCAUUCGGAGGUCACAUCAGGCAAUAACAGUAUUUUGCAAAAGAAAAAAAAAAAUUAGGCUUAGAAAAUACAAUUUCUCAAAACACAUGAGGCAAAUCAAAUCUCUUGGAGGAAGAACAGCUAAUUAAACUAAAUGCCAGUGUUGGCAUGAGCACAAAUAGUUUAAGACAGUCAUGAACAUAUUAGCACGGCAGUUCAGAGGACUACAGAGUUAAGUCAGAGUAAUGGAGAAAGGAAACCAAUUAACUCUCAAGAGGAACUUAAGUUCUUAUUCAAGAGAGUCUAAAACACGGUUGCCUGCAAUGUUAAGGCUUGAGCUUAAACACACUCAAGGCAGCUUGUUGUCAGCUUAAUUCUUGAGAGGACAAAAGGAAAGAGAUCUUCCAGUAAGAUAUGCAUAUCUGUAGCCAAUCCGACCACCCUUUCACGAGGUGUUAUCAAAGCCUCUUCAAAAUGAUAACAGCUAGAUGUACACUGCAUAUCAUAGUUCCAGCAGUCCCAGAGAUAAACCUGAAGAGCAGUAUUUGCCAACAACAUGUGUGUUUAGUCAGUGGGAGGCAGAAAAGCUUUUAUCUAGCUAGUUGCAAAGUGGAGGCUGGCGGUGGAACUAGGACCUUUGCAGAACUAGGGAAUAUCUAAUAGGGCAAUAUUAAAGGUGCUCUCACAAAUACUGAAGUGCUUUAUUGUAUUUCAGUUAAACGCCUACACGCUCUCCUGUGCAAUUUUCAUUAAUAUACAGUUGAAGAAAAGAAUCUACUUAUCUGCAAUUACAGUAUCAGACAACUGCUCAAGGCAGCCACAACAGGAAAACAUGAGAAGAUCUGCAUCAAACACUGCACCCACCUUACCCGUGCUUACCAGAACCAAGAAGACUCCUGUUGUUUUUCACCUGCAAUCUUAAAACAGUCUUACUGACAGCCUCACUGAUAUUAAGACAGGCAAAUAUUCUGGUUUACACAAAAUGCGCUUUGAACAAGAGAGCAAAAAUGUUAACAGUGAGAAGAAAAAAGUUAACAACGGAAAACUGGAAGAGGGAAGAACAUUUUGGUUGUAGCCUAAUCCCUCUAAUAAUGUAUGGCAGCUUGCCAUUUCUUUCAUAGGACUUGUCUGGCAGCAGCGCCUAGGAAUGUGAAUCUCCACGCCUGCUGUGGUAUACAUUAGGACAGCGGUUUCAAACAGAUGUGGUCUCUGGAAUAACAGGUUCAUAAAUUAAAGAGGAACCUAAAAGAAGCGCAUCUAAAUGGUUCUUCUCCUCUGACCACUGUUCAUCAGAUUGACUUUAGAUGCCAAGCCAUUUAUUCUCAACUGUCUAAAGUACAAAACUACUCACAAGAUCUUGAGUUCUUUACUAAGCAGCUUCAAAAUUACAGACAUUUCAGCAAGUUAACAAUAACGUGUAUAUUUCAUUAUAAAUUGUGAGGCUCUGAUUCUGGUUAUGUUUCCUUACACAUCAUACCACUGGCACCAGCAUACUGUUUGAAUGAAUAAUUAUUCAUAUGCAAGAACUUCAUCCUUCCAGUUGAUAAUUAUCAAUGAUUGCGAAACAAAUAAUAUAUUCUCAAGGCAAGGGACUUGAAAUAUCAUGGUGAAAAUGGCUUAGUCCUCUGGAUUUCUGAAGGCAGAGCAUUGUUUCUUGUAAACUAUUAUUCUCAUCUCCCUUCACAGAGGGAGCAGACUCCCUCCAAAAGGAGAGCGGGGAGGCUAACAAGACACAAGCUCCCAGCAUCACUGUCUCAUUCUCUAUGCAUUAGACUCACAAGUGGUACUGCUCAAUAGAGUGUUUUUAUGUCCUGCCUGAAAACAGAUUCAAAUAAAACUCUGCAUUAUUUAAGAGAGAUUGGAGGCAAACUGGUUAUGUUGUAGGAAGUCGUCUUCUGACCGUACAUGUGCUUAUCUGGCACACUUCUGUAUUUGAUGGCUAGCUCCUUCUGAAUUUUCCCCAUUGUAACUACAGAUUCAAAUCCUAGGAUGUGUUAUCUACGUUAAUCCCAAUGAUAUGGACGGUCAAAAAAGGGAUUAAAAAACCUGCUGAAAAAUGUAUUCCUGUUUUAAGUAAGUUUUAGCCUUAGCAAAUCAAAGUUAUGGUAGUCCCAAUACAGAGGAGUUGAGAACUUUAGGUAUUGGAGACUUCGGCAGAGCUACCCUACCUCUACCCCAUCUCUGUGCUCUCCGGUACUAGCACAUAUGUGGGCAUUUUCCAUCUACCACUGAAGACUAGAAGUAACCAAAGCAGUACAGCAAAUUAACAAGUAUUUCCUAUCAAAUGGUUACUGGGAAGUGACACAUUUCCUACUUGUUGGUUAAAUAAUCUUUUAUAGAUGAAAACAACACUGAACUGCAGUUUCUGUAGUCACUGUGCAGUCCAGAAUGUUGCAGAAGGCCUUCUAAACAAGAGGACCUGUUGCAUCUCUGCAAGUAGGGACUCUUUUCCUAUUCUCACUCAUUUAUCAACUGGGGGUCUCCUUAGUUAAGCAAGGACAGCAACCAUUAUUGACACACUGGUUUUCCCUCACGGUGUCUGUAAAACUAGGAACCUUCGGGCUGUCAGGCUGCCUCUUUUAAGCAUCAGAGAAUUGCUGCUCAGGUCAGUGGUGACAGCACAUUUCCUCUGCAGGAGGGUACACAGCAUAGCUUGGUGGGACGGCUUGAGCACAACACUGCCAAAUCAGGAGGGCAGCAUUUCACAUUGUCCUUGCCUCAGAAUCAACCCUUACUCAUCUUUUUAACUCACUCCUUUUCGUAUGACACUUGAGGCUCCCUGCAUUUUGGCCACCAACCUUAUUGUAACUAUGGCUUAGUUCAACUUACUGUACACAAAUAGCCAGCAAACAAACCGAGCCCUCUGGCUGUCCUUUCUCACGAGAUGACAGACUAACCACAAACCUCGGACACUCACUCAUGCACAUUUCUUAGCUUAGAAUUACCUAGCUAAUAAUUGAUGUCAUCUGAAGGCUCCUAGGAAAGCUUGCGUCAGUUAAUCCAGUCCUCGCUACAGAAACUGAGGCACACACCUGUCUGAAAGCAGGCUUUUACACAGAACCCAACUACCAGCAGAAAUCAGGCGCCGGUGAAAAAGGAAUGUUCUUCAGGACUCCUGCAGUCAUGGGAACAGUAAGUGAGAUAAGGAGAGAGAAAAGUCAGCCUGGAGAUGUUUCUGGUUUUGCAGGAGUGGCUCAUUCUUUACGAAGAUAGCAAUGCAAGGCACUGCCCAGUGGCUGUGGCACACCUUCAAGAAGAGAGGGAAACCGGAGCCCCUGAACCACUCAAUGCAAGAGGAUUCAAACACACAUCCCCUCAUUUACCAAGCUACACGGCAGUCUGUGAAGGUUUUGUUUUGUUCACUUUUAACCCUUCCUAAGAGCACUACCAAACUGGCUAUCUAACUAAAAGUUAAUUAAAGAUGCGUUGCAACCUUGUGAGCAGAA